GGAGGAGGAGGCUGAACGCUCUGGACCCAGACCACAGAUUAAAUCAGACCGGGUUCAGAAAAAGACGCAGCAAAUCAAAGCGUCUGAGUCCACCUGGCCGAAGCCCAAAGCCCACCCAAUCCCCUCAAUCUGCGUGUCCAUCUCUGUGGAUUACAGUCCACAUCAUAAUCCAGGUUGGCCUGAGCCGGGCCCACGUGCUGCCCGCCCCUUGGUGUAAUCUGCCCCCUCGGUUCAUCAAUGACCCAGAGUUUCACAGACGGGUCUGAAGGAAGCAGAGAAACCAGACAGCAGGAUGUGGGCGAGAACAGAGAUGUCAACGCCGCAACUUCCUGUUCAGACGAGCAGAAGACCUCACUUCCAGUCCAAACCAUCAUCAGAACCGAGUCAGCAGGAGAAACGAACUCAGCACCACCGAGACAAACUGAAUAAUCUGAUAAGAUUAAACAAUCAAUUAACUUCAA